ACGGCUCAGUAACACGUGGACAACCUACCCUUAGGACGGGGAUAAACCCGGGAAACUGGGUAUAAUACCCGAUAGAUCUCGGCCGCUGGAAUGCAUCGAGAUCUAAAGCUCCGGCGCCUAAGGAUGGGUCUGCGGCCUAUCAGGUAGUAGUGGGUGUAGUGUACCUACUAGCCUACGACGGGUACGGGUUGUGAGAGCAAGAGCCCGGAGAUGGAUUCUGAGACACGAAUCCAGGCCCUACGGGGUGCAGCAGGCGCGAAAACUUUACAAUGCUGGCAACAGCGAUAAGGGGACCUCGAGUGCCAGGUUACAAAUCUGGCUGUCGUGAUGCCUAAAAAGCAUUGCAUAGCAAGGGCCGGGCAAGACCGGUGCCAGCCGCCGCGGUAACACCGGCGGCUCGAGUGGUAACCGUUAUUAUUGGGUCUAAAGGGUCUGUAGCCGGCCGGAUAAGUCUCUUGGGAAAUCUGGCAGCUCAACUGUCAGGCUUUCAGGAGAUACUGUCUGGCUCGAGGCCGGGAGAGGUGAGAGGUACUUCAGGGGUAGGGGUGAAAUCUUGUAAUCCUUGAAGGACCACCAGUGGCGAAGGCGUCUCACCAGAACGGACCUGACGGCAAGGGACGAAAGCUAGGGGCACGAACCGGAUUAGAUACCCGGGUAGUCCUAGCCGUAAACGAUACUCGCUAGGUGUCGGCCACGGUGCGACCGUUGUCGGUGCCGUAGGGAAGCCGUGAAGCGAGUCACCUGGGAAGUACGGCCGCAAGGCUGAAACUUAAAGGAAUUGGCGGGGGAGCAC
rnacentral:rRNA from 1 species